UCUCACCGCAAAAUUAAAAACUUUAAAGCUUCCAUCCCAUCUGGAAGAGAGAGAGAGUUGUGCCCUCACUCUUCUCAGUUCCCUACCGCUCUCGACAAUCUUCACCACAGAUGCUUCAGUUCUUCUCUUCGUCUUCUAGCUUCAAUUCAGAGGGAUUCGGCGACGUCAAGAUAAAGAGGAAGUGAGGACUGUCAGACGAUCUCCGUGGCGCAGACCAAGACCUCAGGUUUGGAGUUAACCUUGAAGAGCCGGAACAGGUUCAAAAGCACAUUAAAUACAAGCAGAAGAUCAUAUUGAAUUGCCAGGUUCCAUUGUUGUGAUCAUUUGUAUACAAAUAGACACUGUCAUGUCUCCUCUUAAUAUUACUUUGAAGGAAUUGCUGAGGAAUUGUAUGUUGAUCAAUGUUGUUCU